rnacentral:rRNA from 1 species
GACGAACGCUGGCGGCGUGCUUAACACAUGCCAGUCGAACGGAAAGGCCCUGCUUUUGUGGGGUGCUCGAGUGGCGAACGGGUGAGUAACACGUGAGUAACCUGCCCUUGACUUUGGGAUAACUUCAGGAAACUGGGGCUAAUACCGGAUAGGAGCUCCUGCUGCAUGGGGGGGGUUGGAAAGUUUCGGUGGUUGGGGAUGGACUCGCCGCGUAUCAGCUUGUUGGUGGGGUAGUGGCUUACCAAGGCUUGGACCGGUAGCCGGCCUGGGAGGGUGAGCGGACCAAUCGGGCCGGGACUGCGGCACAGCCCACUACGGUACGCGAGGGAGCAGUGUGGAGUAUUGCGGGAGGGGGGAAGACGUGACGCCGCCGCGCGGGGGAAAUGGUGAAGCGGUUAGGAAAGCAAAAUUCUCUCUGCCGAGGCGAGAGUGACGGUAACCGGUAAAGAAGCCCCGGCUAACUACGUG